GUUCGGCGUGCCCAUGGGGUACGGCGGCCCGCACGCCGCGUUCCUCGCCACUUCCCAGGAGUACAAGCGCCUCAUGCCCGGCCGUAUCAUCGGCGUGAGCGUCGAUUCCAGCGGCAAGCCCGCGCUCCGGAUGGCGAUGCAGACCCGGGAGCAGCACAUCCGCCGCGACAAGGCCACCAGCAACAUCUGCACUGCCCAGGCCUUGCUCGCCAACAUGGCAGCGAUGUAUG
rnacentral:misc_RNA from 1 species